AACGAACGCUGGCGGCAUGCCUAACACAUGCAAGUCGAACGAGGCCUUCGGGACUAGUGGCGCUCGCGUGCGUAACGCGUGAGAACCUGCUAACAGGUUCGCAAUAACUCCCCGAGAGGGGGGCUAAAACCGGAAAAUGUUUCUGAUCCCAAGAUUGAUCUGCUCUGGAUGGGGCGGCGUUGGAUUAGAUAGUAGGUAGAGUAAACGCAUCACAAGGGGAGGAUGCAUAGUUGGGCUGAGAGGAUGAUCAGCCACACUGGGACUGAGACACGGCGCAGACUCUCAGGGAAGGCAGCAGUGGGGAAGAUGGGACGCUGGGCGAGAGCCGGAGCCAGCCGUGUUGCGUGGGUGAUUUAGGCCUGAGGGUAGUAAAGCUCGUUAAUCCUGGAUGAUAAUGACGGUACCGGGAGAGUAAGCCCCGGCUAACUCCGUG
rnacentral:rRNA from 1 species